UGGACAACUCUGCAUAGUACGUUUAGUUUUUCUGUACCGUUCGACCUAAUAACAAGCAUUAUAAAAAUGAAACUCUUUUGGUUUAUAGUAUCAUGUGUCAUUGUAGUUGUUUCAACAGAUGUGUUAACGGAUUAUAAAAGAUCCAUCUCCAUUACAACUUACCACUUACACUGUGCUAAUGAAAUGACUGUCUAUAACGGACAAACUGGUUUGGUGGAAA